rnacentral:rRNA from 1 species
UACAGAGGUCUCAAGCGUUGUUCGGAUUCAUUGGGCGUAAAGGGUGCGUAGGCUGCGGGGCAAGUCGGGUGUGAAAUCUCAGAGCUCAACUCUGAAACUGCACUCGAUACUGCUUUGCUCGAGGACUGGAGAGGAGAUUGGAAUUCACGGUGUAGCAGUGAAAUGCGUAGAUAUCGUGAGGAAGACCAGUGGCGAAGGCGGAUCUCUGGACAGUUCCUGACGCUGAGGCGCGAAGGCCAGGGGAGCAAACGGG